rnacentral:rRNA from 1 species
AGCGAACGCUGGCGGCAGGCCUAACACAUGCAAGUCGAACGAACCCUUCGGGGUUAGUGGCGGACGGGUGAGUAACACGUGGGAACGUGCCUUUAGGUUCGGAAUAACUCAGGGAAACUUGUGCUAAUACCGAAUGUGCCCUUCGGGGGAAAGAUUUAUCGCCUUUAGAGCGGCCCGCGUCUGAUUAGCUAGUUGGUGAGGUAAUGGCUCACCAAGGCUACGAUCAGUAGCUGGUCUGAGAGGAUGACCAGCCACAUUGGGACUGAGACACGGCCCAGACUCCUACGGGAGGCAGCAGUGAGGAAUCUUGCGCAAUGGGCGAAAGCCUGACGCAGCCAUGCCGUGUGGAUGAUGAAGGUCUUAGGAUUGUAAAAUCCUUUCACCGGUGAAGAUAAUGACGGUAGCCGGAGAAGAAGCCCCGGCUAACUUCGUGCCAGCCGCCGCAGUAACAC